UGUGAAAACGGACUCAGCGUACUGAAAUAAGCCAAAACUGAAGUUCUGGUAGUUUAGGGCGCCCAGAGUGGAUUUAGGGUGCCCAGAUCUUCAGUGUUGUUUUGUAUUAGAUGCUGCAGUCAUUUCGAACCUUGUUAGGCCGCCCGAAAAGUGGAUCCAAAAGUUCGCUUCGUGAAUAUCGAUUGUAUUGAUAUAUGGCUGUGGUAGGUGAGAUCCGCCGGAACCCGAUAGCAGUGCAGCACACCGUCGGACGGAGGAACCGAGGUGCUGUUUUGUGCAGGCUGGAAGUUCUGGGCACCCAGAACUGGGUUUAGGGUGCCCGAAUCUUGGAUUUCCUGCGAAGUAGCAGGGAACCCUACAAUUUUACGAUAAACCCCUUCCAAUCUCUCUAAUUUCAUUUUUGGACCUUAGAAGCUUAAAAUUCUGCUGAAAUCCAACAGCGACCCUUGGAGUUUUGGCUCGUGUGCGGCGUAGGAGCACUCAAAUCCUGUGAAACUUGAUUCGGAGGAUUGUGGAUUCAUGGGAGAGUGUGUGGAACCAAUUAAACAGCAAGCAAUUGAGUUGGAUUUUUGAAAUGGGAGUUGGUUUUCCAUCAUCCUCUACUGGUUUUGAAGCUUUCCCCACCUGAUUUCGAGAUUUGAAAGAUUUUUAUGGAAAGCUUAAGGAUGGAUUUGGAUUGAUUCUCCACUUCAUUUGGAAGGAUUCUGGGCUUCCAGAAGUGGGUCCGAAUAUGGUUUGAGAGCUUUUUGGUGAUCUUUUCGAGCUCGAAUUUGGUGAGGAACCUGGGGGAUUAUUCUUGAGCAUCUAGAGAUGAGUUGGGUGAAGUUUCACUGCAUUUGGACUUCAGAAUUGUAUUUAAUCCAAUGUUGAAUUCGUGCAGGUUGUUGCUGCCAGCUUACUAUUUUGGACUAUGUUCUGGGCGCCCAGAAGUUGGCGCGGGGGGGUUCAGAUCUUGACAGCAAUUUGAUUUAGCUUGUUUUGAGGCAGAUCUUUUCCAGGGUCUUUUCCAGCGACUUCUUGCCUUUGUUGGAGUCGCAUUUAAGUUGGGUUAAUGUUAUAUCCAAAGCCUUCGGAAUUCCUCCUAAGUAUUUAAAACUCCAGCAUGUAUAGUUUUGCAUAUAAUCACCCUGUCUAAU